rnacentral:rRNA from 1 species
GUAGGUGGCAAGCGUUGUCCGGAAUUAUUGGGCGUAAAGCGCGCGCAGGCGGUUUUUUAAGUCUGAUGUGAAAGCCCACGGCUCAACCGUGGAGGGUCAUUGGAAACUGGAGAACUUGAGUGCAGAAGAGGAGAGCGGAAUUCCACGUGUAGCGGUGAAAUGCGUAGAGAUGUGGAGGAACACCAGUGGCGAAGGCGGCUCUCUGGUCUGUAACUGACGCUGAGGCGCGAAAGCGUGGGGGGAGCAAACAGGAUUAGAUACCUGGUAGUCCACGCCGUAAACGAUGAGUGCUAAGUGUUAGAGGGUUUCCCGCCUUUAGUGCUGCAGCAAACGCAUUAAGCACUCCGCCUGGGAGUACGGUCGCAAGACUG